GACGAACGCUGGCGGCGUGCCUAAUACAUGCAAGUCGUACGAAUUGAUGGAGGAGCUUGCUCCCCCUGACGUUAGUGGCGAACGGGUGAGUAACACGUGGGUAACCUGCCCUCAAGCGGGGGAUAACAUCCGGAAACGGGUGCUAAUACCGCAUAGUUUCCAUCCCCUCCUGGAGGCGGAAGGAAAGACGGCCUUUGUGCUGUCGCUUGAGGAUGGACCCGCGGCGCAUUAGUUAGUUGGUGGGGUAAUGGCCUACCAAGACGAUGAUGCGUAGCCGACCUGAGAGGGUGAUCGGCCACAUUGGGACUGAGACACGGCCCAA
rnacentral:rRNA from 1 species